rnacentral:rRNA from 1 species
GGGGAAAAAAUUUUUUGCGCGGGGGACACCCCCGGGGGAAGGGUAAAAAAGGUUUUUCGGAUUGGUAAAACUUCUGUUGUUAGAAGAAGAACAAGGUGGGAGAGGAAACUGAUGUUACCUUGACGGUUUUUUAACCAGAAAGCCCCGGGUUAACUACGUGCCCAGCAGCCGCGGUAAUACGUAGGGGGCAAGCGUUGUCCGGAUUUUUUGGGGCGUAAAGCGGAGCGCAGGGCGGUUUUUUUAAGUUCUGAUGUGAAAGCCCCCCAGCUCAACUGGGGAGGGUCAUUGGAAACUGGGGAGACUUGAGUGCAGAAGAGGGAGAGUGGAAUUUCCAUGUGUAGCGGUGAAAUGCGUAGAUAUAUGGAGGAACACCAGUGGCGAAAGCGACUCUCUGGUCUGUAACUGACGCUGAGGCUCGAAAGCGUGGGGAGCAAACAGGAUUAGAUACCCUGGUAGUCCACGCCGUAAACGAUGAGUGCUAAGUGUUGGAGGGUUUCCGCCCUUCAGUGCUGCAGCAAACACAUUAAGCACUCCGCCUGGGGAGUACGACCGCAAGGUUGAAACUCAAAGGAAUUGACGGGGGCCCGCACAAGCGGUGGAGCAUGUGGUUUAAUUAGAAGCAACGAGAAGCACCUUACCAGGUCUUGACAUCCUUUGACCACUAUAGAGAUAGAGCUUUCCCUUGGGGGACAAAGUGACAGGUGGUGCAUGGUUGUCGUCAGCUCGUGUCGUGAGAUGUUGGGUUAAGUCCCGCAACGAGCGCAACCCUUAUUGUUAGUUGCCAUCAUUCAGUUGGGCACUCUAGGGAGACUGCCGGUGACAAACCGGAGGAAGGUGGGGAUGACGUCAAAUCAUCAUGCCCCUUAUGACCUGGGCUACACACGUGCUACAAUGGGAAGUACAAAGAGUCGCUAGGCCGCGAGGUCAUGCAAAUCCCAUAAAGCCUUUCUCAGUUCGGAUUGCAGGCUGCAACUCGCCUGCAUGAAGCCGGAAUCGCUAGUAAUCGCGGAUCAGCAUGCCGCGGUGAAUCCGUUCCCGGGCCUUGUACACACCGCCCGUCACACCACGAAAGUUUGUAACACCCGAAGUCGGUGAGGUAACCUUUUGGAACCCAGCCCGU